GACAGGUGUGUAAGCCAGCACGGAUUGAAAUCAGAGUGUAGAUAUCUGUGGAAGACUUGCAUUUUACUGAGACUUGUGGCUCCUCUCAACUGAACCUACUUGACUGGAUAGAGUUUUUAAAGUAUUUCACCCUCUCCUCUCAGUGUGUAGUAAGACAGCUGGUUUAUCGCUCAUUCUCGUCCCUGCAUCUGUUUAUCCCUGCUUCUCAGUCUCCCUCUUUAUCCCUGAGGACAUUGAGAAACAGAAGAGGCUAGCUAGGAUUUGAGUAAUAUUAAGGACUGAGGUGGUUAUUACUGAAGCUUUUUAAAUGAAGGCUAAAACCUGACUUUUUGAAAAUGAAAAAAGAUGCAUAUUUCCAUAUUCUGCAAGGUACGGCUUCUCAGUCUAGUAGCUCAUCUCUAUCUCCAGUGAAGAGCAGCUGCUCACAGUAACCGUUGCUUCAGUUAUUAACAUUUCCAAAAGACGAGAAGCCAAGGGGAAAUUUGUUGUUUGGUUUGUGUGAU
rnacentral:lncRNA from 1 species